rnacentral:rRNA from 1 species
GAUGAACGCUGGCGGCGUGCCUAAUACAUGCAAGUCGAGCGAACAGACGAGGAGCUUGCUCCUCUGACGUUAGCGGCGGACGGGUGAGUAACACGUGGAUAACCUACCUAUAAGACUGGGAUAACUUCGGGAAACCGGAGCUAAUACCGGAUAAUAUAUUGAACCGCAUGGUUCAAUAGUGAAAGACGGUUUUGCUGUCACUUAUAGAUGGAUCCGCGCCGCAUUAGCUAGUUGGUAAGGUAACGGCUUACCAAGGCAACGAUGCGUAGCCGACCUGAGAGGGUGAUCGGCCACACUGGAACUGAGACACGGUCCAGACUCCUACGGGAGGCAGCAGUAGGGAAUCUUCCGCAAUGGGCGAAAGCCUGACGGAGCAACGCCGCGUGAGCGAUGAAGGUCUUCGGAUCGUAAAACUCUGUUAUUAGGGAAGAACAAAUGUGUAAGUAACUAUGCACGUCUUGACGGUACCUAAUCAGAAAGCCACGGCCAACUACGUG